CGCUGCAACCAUUUGAUGAGUC
rnacentral:siRNA from 1 species